UACGGGGGGGGCAAGCGUUGUUCGGAAUUACUGGGCGUAAAGGGCGCGUAGGCGGUUCGAUAAGUCAGCUGUGAAAACCAUGGGCUUAACUCAUGGCCUGCAGUUGAGACUGUCGGGCUGGAGUGUGGGAGAGGAGAGUGGAAUUCCUGGUGUAGCGGUGAAAUGCGUAGAUAUCAGGAGGAGCACCGGUGGCGAAGGCGGCUCUCUGGACCACAACUGACGCUGAGGCGCGAAAGCUAGGGGAGCAAACAGG
rnacentral:rRNA from 1 species